rnacentral:lncRNA from 1 species
GCGCGCCAGAUCUUCUUCAGUGUCUCUCCCUCCCAUCCGCAGCAGCUUCCCUCCUUCAUUACUCCCUGAGCUCCUCCGGUAGUCAAGUAAGCACCUAAUUCCUGUCGCAAGCCCUCGGUGCCCAGAAGACAUGGAGUGGCUUCUGUUUUCCUGACUAAACCGUGACUGCUUCAGACACAUAGUGAGAUAAUCCUGUAACAUCGCCAUGGCAUAAUGAUGCAGGAACAUACGAGGGUUUACGAGCUCUGAGUAGCAGGAAAGCAUCCCAGCUUUAGAAGGAUCAGGGGAGGCUCCAGGGAGAUUGGCUUCUGAGAUCAACACAAAUCCAGGUUCUUCUCUGCCCUUCCACUUUCAAACUGCCUGUUCCAGAACUUCUAGGAAUUCCCACUAAAACCUUGACUGGCUGCUUGUACGUUCUGUUUCUUCAGCCGUCAGAUGGUGAUGACGACAAUAGUGGGUACGUCUCAAGAUUGCUGUAGAAACCUAGUAUUGUCUUAGAUCAGUGUUAAGCUCACAGUCAGUCAUCAGGACAUGUUAGCUGGUAUCAUGUGUAAGCAAAAGUUUUGUCUUUUGGCUGGAUUAGAAUAAAUUGGAUGAGUCAG